UGUUUGUGGGGCACCUGGGUGGCUCAGUCAAUUAAGCUUUGGACUUCCGCUCAGGUCAUGAUCUCAGAGUUCAUGAGUUCAAGCCUGCCUCCGGCUCUGUGCUGAUAGUUCAGAGCCUGGAGCCUGCUUCAGAUUAUGUGUCUCCCUCUCUCUGCUGCUCCCCUGUUCAUGCUCUGUCUCUCUCAAAAAUAAAUAAACAUUUUAAAAAGUUUUUUAAAUUGUGUUUGUGCCCACAAGCAUAGGACUUUGCUCUUCCCUGCUACAAGUUUAGAAUUUGAAUGAACUUUGUUGUAACUUCAGUAACAAAGUUAAAUCUAAACUUUCCUGUUAGGCUUAGAAAUCCAGAAAGGUCAUUCUUCAUUUAACCUUAAGACCCUGAUGACAAAAACAAAAGGUGCAGCUUUAAGAAGCAGGCAGCCUGGUAGAAGAUAUGUUUUGAAUCCUUUCCACCCCUCCUUAGCAGCCCCCUUCAAAUGAAAAUCAACAAGGAAAGCCCAAUCCCCAAGUAAGGAACUGGCUAAGAGAAACAGUUAUUUCUAUGAGGAAAGUGGCAACACACACUUAGAAGAAGGGAGAGAGAGAGCAUUCUGUAUAUAUACACAGAUUUCCACCACUUGGUCUGUGAGAGAAAUCUUAAAACCAGGCCCAAAAUAUUUACCCAAAAGAAGUUUCACUUGCUAGAAGCCCUGUCUGGUUUGCCUACAUGGUACAUGGAGUCAGGAAAAGCACUGUGGGCUGCUGGUGGCUGUGACGUCAUGAGACUGGCUCACAAACCACAAGGCAGAAACCAGGCUUUCAAAGGAUUUGGUGUUUUCUUGGUGUGAACAUUCAGAAUCCUGAGAGAGCAGGAGGCACCACAGGAAAAGCGUUGCAAAAACUAAAACUGGACAGACUACCUGCUCCCAGGGAAAGUUCCUUUUUUCAGUCUCCCUAAGGGACCACAUCCUGUUCUCCCACUCCUUCCUCAAGCCCGUCCAUGUGCUUCAGAGAUCUGCUGUGUUUUCAGAAAGGUAGGAGAAGCACAAUGUCAUGCAAUCCAAAGAAGAAUGGUCCAAGGAGAAGUCAUCUAAAUAUACUCUUGGGGAAGCCCCCAAACACAAGGUGUCAUUUUGUGUCCAACAAUGUCAAAAUCUGUGAGAGCUGCUCAUGCACACCUGUGUGAAGUUAGGAUGGACAACCUGAGACACAGAGAGACAACCUGAGAGGGUCAAGGGGCACAUCCCAUACAGAAAAGCCAUUCAUUCUUUUCAAGAGUAACAACUAUAAAA
rnacentral:lncRNA from 1 species